rnacentral:lncRNA from 1 species
AAAAACCCUCUGAAAGAGGGGAGAGGAGAGGUCCUCCAGGCUCUGGCCUCCGUAGGCCACGCUCCGGUCAUCAGUCUUACACGCGCCCACACGCCGUCGUACACGAUGGUCUGAGGGUUUAAAACCUUCGUCCUUCCACAGGUAACUCUUUUUUCUUUUGAACAUCAACAGUUUUUGCUAAAACAAUUCAUAUACAUGCGUUCAAAAAUAAAGAACAAGAUACACGAUUAAAUCACCUUUUUAGAAACUGUUUGUAUUUCUUAAUGAAUAUAUGUAAGUGUGUUUUCUAUUCUGUCAAAAUCCGGUCCCUUUACAUUGUUUUGAUUUGGGCUUUUAUAGCCACUAUUUCUAUUACAUUUUGGGAAAGAAAUCUUUUCUUUCCAUAUCUAUUUCGUUCUUUUGCUGCUGCUUCUUUCCUUCUUUUGCAGGUAACGCCGAAAAAUCCAGCGGUGAUGGAGGCUCGACGAUGGUGGUGACGAACCAGGUACUGACUGCGCACUGACUUUCGGCACUGAUGGAAGGUUGCUGGAACGAUGGGAACUGAAGUGGCGUGAAUCUUGGGCUGAUUGCGAUGCUGCGGUGCGA